AACGAACGCUGGCGGCAUGCCUAACACAUGCAAGUCGAACGAGACCUUCGGGUCUAGUGGCGCACGGGUGCGUAACGCGUGGGAACCUGCCCUUAGGUUCGGAAUAACUCCCCGAAAGGGGUGCUAAUACCGGAUAAUGUCUUCGGACCAAAGAUUUAUCGCCUUUGGAUGGGCCCGCGUUGGAUUAGCUAGUUGGUAGGGUAAAAGCCUACCAAGGCGACGUUCCAUAGCUGGUCUGAGAGGAUGAUCAGCCACACUGGGACUGAGCCACGGCCCAGACUCCUACGGGAUGCAGCAGUGGGGAAUAUUGGACAAUGGGCGAAAGCCUGAUCCAGCAAUGCCGCGUGAGUGAUGAAGGCCUUAGAGUUGUAAAGCUCUUUUACCCGGGAUGAUAAUGACAGUACCGGGAGAAUAAGCUCCGGCUAACUCCGUG
rnacentral:rRNA from 1 species